rnacentral:rRNA from 1 species
UGGGGAAUAUUGCACAAUGGAGGGAACUCUGAUGCAGCGACGCCGCGUGAACGAAGAAGGCUUUCGAGUCGUAAAGUUCUUUUAUAUGGGAAGAUAAUGACGGUACCAUAAGAAAAAGCCCCGGCUAACUACGUGCCAGCAGCCGCGGUAAUACGUAAGGGGCUAGCGUUGUCCGGAAUCACUGGGCGUAAAGGGUUCGCAGGCGGAAAUGCAAGUCAGGUGUAAAAGGCAGUAGCUUAACUACUGUAAGCAUUUGAAACUGCAUAUCUUGAGAAGAGUAGAGGUAAGUGGAAUUUUUAGUGUAGCGGUGAAAUGCGUAGAUAUUAAAAAGAAUACCGGUGGCGAAGGCGACUUACUGGGCUCAUUCUGACGCUGAGGAACGAAAGCGUGGGUAGCAAACAGG